GUAGACGCUGCCAACAAAGGCUUCCAGUUCAGCAAACAUCUGGGCGUCCUGGACCUCCCUGGUCCACCAAAUGUGUUGGAAAAACAGGAAGAAGCAGCGAGAAGAAAAGUGAACGUUGUUUCUUUCCUGCAAGAAAUCCCCGGACCGUCUCUUGGAAACACAAUCCACAAAAAGAAAAAAAGAUCUUCACAGAGAUCUCAAAGGCAGAUAUACUGUUGUGUUUGAAAGGAUUUAAGGCCAGGCUAAGGAGAAAAAAAAAAGGCUCCUGAAGAUAAAUGUUCUUGUUUGUUCUUUUUUUUUAGAUUUCAACUCUGUAUGAUAACUCCAAGAAACGCAAUGUUUUCACGUCUCCAUGUCUCCCAUCCAGGAACAGGGAUGUGUGCAAUUAGACAGUCCUCACAGUGUUCCCUUUUGUACACCGAAAGACAGAUCAAUGUGGACAAUGAGAUCACAAGAGCACAGAGGUUGGGGGUAUUGGCUGGUUUAGAUAUGGAUCAACUUUAACUUGGCAUGUACCAAACAAAUGCCAGAGGGGGUAUCAGGGUGGUGAAACCUAGCAAUAAAUCAAUUUCAGCUCAGCGGGCAUGCUGCAAUCAGGAGCCGUUGCGCAAGGUAGGAGGUCCACGAUGGGGAAAGAGAAUUCGAUCAGCGAACAUAAUCUGGAAACGAGGACUUUUUCUCUCUUUUUUUUUUUCCUCGGUCCAACAGGAACACCAACAAGUUCUAGCAGAAAGAGCAUCAGGCAAACAGACCUUUAUCAGAGUUUCUGCCUUGACUUUGUGUACCUGGCCACGUGUGGUACACAGUCAACAGAAGCCUUGAUUGGAUGGAGUUAUGUAGGGCACAGUCAACACGAGUCCAGAUAGGAAGGGGAAGAGAAAGCUAUUAAAGAUAGGACUCCUGGUCCGAGGCGGCAGCCAAUACGAGGCUGCUCAGUAAGUCAACCAAAGCUCGCUUAUCGAGUUCCACAAAGGCCCGCACGCAAAAUGUGUCCAAGGCAGUCUGCCAUGCCUCUGUUUGAGCGAACAGAACCACUAGCAAAGCCGCUGCUUUCAGAUCUUUUCUCAUGUUCAUUUUAAUUAAUCAUUAUAGUGAUUUUAGUCAAUUCAUCACAAGCAGACGCAACACGAAGAAUUUGACACCACCAAAGUUUUAAUGUGAUGUUCAUUUGCCUUUUCUGAGUCAUUAGAACUGAAAUUGAAUAUAGUUAGUAGUUUGAGAUGUUAACAGACUAUUGGCUUACUAAUGUAAGGACUAUGUUGGGGAAAUUUGUUUCUAGGGCGACUUAACAUUUACCCGAGCGUUUAUUGUUGAACACAUUAUGUUUAUUGGGAUAUUUAAGAGCUAAAUAAAUAAAAAAUAAA